CCAAUAGCGUAUAUUAAAGUUGUUGCAGUUAAAAAGCUCGUAGUUGAAUUUCGGGGUUCUACCGUUGGUCGGGCAAUAGUCUGUACUGGCGUGUAGAAUUUCUACCUUCUGGGGAACCAUCAUGUUAUUUAUUUAGCGUGGUGGGAAACCAGGACCUUUACCUUGAAAAAAUUAGAGUGUUCAAAGCAGGCUUACGUCUGAAUACAUUAGCAUGGAAUAAUAAAAUAGGACGGUGGUCCUGUUUUGUUGGUUUCUGAAUCAACGUAAUGAUUAAUAGGGAUAGUUGGGGGCAUUAGUAUUCAAUUGUCAGAGGUGAAAUUCUUGGAUUUAUUGAAGACUAACUUCUGCGAAAGCAUUUGCCAAGGAUGUUUUCAUUAAUCAAGAACGAAAGUUAGGGGAUCGAAGACGAUCAGAUACCGUCGUAGUCUUAACCAUAAACUAUGCCGACUAGGGAUCGGACGAUGUUAAUUUUUCUUGACUCGUUCGGCGCCUUACG
rnacentral:rRNA from 1 species